UGUAGGACGCACAGUUUAUACCGUAGCUUGCUACACCAUAGACUGUGAGUUGCGAACGGGUGAGUAACGCGUAGGUAACCUGCCUAUUAGAGGGGGAUAACUAUUGGAAACGAUAGCUAAUACCGCAUAACAGUAUGUAACACAUGUUAGAUGCUUGAAAGAUGCAAUUGCAUCGCUAGUAGAUGGACCUGCGUUGUAUUAGCUAGUAGGUAGGGUAAAGGCCUACCUAGGCAACGAUACAUAGCCGACCUGAGAGGGUGAUCGGCCACACUGGGACUGAGACACGGCCCAGACUCCUACGGGAGGCAGCAGUAGGGAAUCUUCGGCAAUGGGGAGAACCCUGACCGAGCAACGCCGCGUGAGUGAAGAAGGUUUUCGGAUCGUAAAGCUCUGUUGUUAAGGAAGAACGAGUGUGAGAAUGGAAAGUUCAUGCUGUGACGGUACUUAACCAGAAAGGGACGGCUAACUACGUGCCAGCAGCCGCGGUAAUACGUAGGUCCCGAGCGUUGUCCGGA
rnacentral:rRNA from 1 species